UAGGUUGCCAAGGCGGGCCGCAGGCCAGGGGCGGAGACGAGUGGAGGGGCCCAGGACUUUCCGCUCUACAGGACUAGGGGCCCUGGCACUCAGAAUAAGACAGGGAGAGAGAGAAUUCUCCCUCUCACUUCUUGCCCUCUCUUCAGGACGCUCCUUCCAGAGAAACCUGAGUGGUCUGGGAGGCAAGGUAUCCAUAUAUACCAAGGCCGUCUCGGUUGUGCUCUCUUCCUGAAGCCGUUUGUGGCG